UUGUCCGGAAUCAUUGGGCGUAAAUCGCGCGUAGGCGGCCCGGUAAGUCCGUUGUGAAAGUCAAAGGCUCAACCUUUGAACGCCGAUGGAUACUGCCGGGCUAGAGUCCGGAAGAGGCGAGUGGAAUUCCUGGUGUAGCGGUGGAAUGCGCAGAUAUCAGGAGGAACACCAAUAGCGAAGGCAGCUCGCUGGGACGGUACUGACGCUGAGGCGCGAAAGCGUGGGGAGCAAACAGG
rnacentral:rRNA from 1 species